CAGAGGCUCGUCGAUUGCAAAUCAUGCGUGCAUCUUUCUAUUAUUGAGCGUACCUAGCCUAAAAUAUUUAAAAAUAAUUGGAGCAACUAAAGUUGUUGUUGUUCAAUUACUUUUAGGUAUUUCAGGUUAGGUGGCUAACCAAUGGUGGAAGUUGCACACCUGAUUUGCGAUUAUCAACUUUAGGAU